rnacentral:rRNA from 1 species
GGCCAGACUCCUACGGGAGGCAGCAGUGGGGAAUAUUGCACAAUGGGGGAAACCCUGAUGCAGCGACGCCGCGUGAGCGAUGAAGUAUUUCGGUAUGUAAAGCUCUAUCAGCAGGGAAGAAAAUGACGGUACCUGACUAAGAAGCCCCGGCUAACUACGUGCCAGCAGCCGCGGUAAUACGUAGGGGGCAAGCGUUAUCCGGAUUUACUGGGUGUAAAGGGAGCGUAGACGGUGAAGCAAGUCUGAAGUGAAAGGCGGGGGCUCAACCCCCGGACUGCUUUGGAAACUGUUUGACUGGAGUGCAGGAGAGGUAAGUGGAAUUCCUGGUGUAGCGGUGAAAUGCGUAGAUAUCAGGAGGAACACCGGCGGCGAAGGCGGCCUGCUGGACCGUGACUGACGUUGAGGCUCGAGAGCGUGGGGAGCAAACAGGAUUAGAUACCCCCGUAAA